rnacentral:rRNA from 1 species
GAACGGUAGCACAGAGAGCUUGCUCUCGGGUGACGAGUGGCGGACGGGUGAGUAAUGUCUGGGAAACUGCCUGAUGGAGGGGGAUAACUACUGGAAACGGUAGCUAAUACCGCAUAACGUCGCAAGACCAAAGAGGGGGACCUUCGGGCCUCUUGCCAUCAGAUGUGCCCAGAUGGGAUUAGCUAGUAGGUGGGGUAACGGCUCACCUAGGCGACGAUCCCUAGCUGGUCUGAGAGGAUGACCAGCCACACUGGAACUGAGACACGGUCCAGACUCCUACGGGAGGCAGCAGUGGGGAAUAUUGCACAAUGGGCGCAAGCCUGAUGCAGCCAUGCCGCGGGUAUGAAGAAGGCCUUCGGGUUGUAAAGUACUUUCAGCGGGGAGGAAGGUGUUGCGGUUAAUAACCGCAGCAAUUGACGUUACCCGCAGAAGAAGCACCGGCUAACUCCGUGCCAGCAGCCGCGGUAAUACGGAGGGUGCAAGCGUUAAUCGGAAUUACUGGGCGUAAAGCGCACGCAGGCGGUCUGUCAAGUCGGAUGUGAAAUCCCCGGGCUCAACCUGGGAACUGCAUUCGAAACUGGCAGGCUAGAGUCUUGUAGAGGGGGGUAGAAUUCCAGGUGUAGCGGUGAAAUGCGUAGAGAUCUGGAGGAAUACCGGUGGCGAAGGCGG